AGAGCGAACGCUGGCGGCAGGCUUAACACAUGCAAGUCGAACGAUCCUUCGGGAUAGUGGCGGACGGGUGAGUAACACGUGGGAACGUGCCUUUAGGUUCGGAACAACACAGGGAAACUUGUGCUAAUACCGGAUGUGCCCUUCGGGGGAAAGAUUUAUCGCCUUUAGAGCGGCCCGCGUCUGAUUAGCUUGUUGGUGAGGUAAAGGCUCACCAAGGCUACGAUCAGUAGCU
rnacentral:rRNA from 1 species